rnacentral:rRNA from 1 species
UACGGGGGGGGCAAGCGUUGUUCGGAAUUACUGGGCGUAAAGGGCCAGUAGGCGGCCAACUAAGUCGGAUGUGAAAUCCCCAGGCUCAACUUGGGAACUGCAUCCGAUACUGGAUGGCUUGAAUUCGGGAGAGGGAUGCAGAAUUCCAGGUGUAGCGGUGAAAUGCGUAGAUAUCUGGAGGAAUACCGGUGGCGAAGGCGGCAUCCUGGACCGACAUUGACGCUGAGGAGCGAAAGCGUGGGGAGCGAACAGG